AGUGAACGCUGGCGGUAGGCCUAACACAUGCAAGACGAACGGCAGCACAGUAAGAGCUUGCUCUUACGGGUGGCGAGUGGCGGACGGGUGAGGAAUACAUCGGAAUCUACUUUUUCGUGGGGGAUAACGUAGGGAAACUUACGCUAAUACCGCAUACGACCUACGGGUGAAAGCAGGGGAUCUUCGGACCUUGCGCGAUUGAAUGAGCCGAUGUCGGAUUAGUUAGUUGGCGGGGUAAAGGCCCACCAAGGCGACGAUCCGUAGCUGGUCUGAGAGGAUGAUCAGCCACACUGGAACUGAGACACGGUCCAGACUCCUACGGGAGGCAGCAGUGGGGAAUAUUGGACAAUGGGCGCAAGCCUGAUCCAGCCAUACCGCGUGGGUGAAGAAGGCCUUCGGGUUGUAAAGCCCUUUUGUUGGGAAAGAAAAGCAGCAGGUUAAGACCCCGCUGUUCUGACGGUACCCAAAGAAUAAGCACCGGCUAACUUCGU
rnacentral:rRNA from 1 species